GUGGCUUCUGCCUGGUGGCUCAUGAGGCACCAGACUCUGGCCUCUAGCCCGGCUCUCUGGGCCUCCAUCCCGUGUCCACGCUCUGAGCUGCACCUAGACCUGGUUUUAGCUUCUGGACAGUCCUUCUGGUGGAGGGAGCAUAGCCCUGCACACUGGAGAGCCGAGUAUGGACACUGACUCAAACCGAAGAGCAGCUUUUCUGCACUGUGUACGGAGAGAACGAGGGUUGGAAUGGCAGGCCGACAUUGGAGGAGCUGAAUACUUCCAGCUGGAUGUCAGCUUGGCUCAACUGUACAGACAUUGGGGUUCUGUGGACCCCCACUUCCAAGACGUGGCUCAGAAAUUCCAAGGUGCUAUAUUAACAAAAAACAGUGUGUGACUGCUGCGACAGGACCCCACUGAAUGCCUUUUCUCCUUCAUCUGUUCUUCCAACAACACCAUUUCCCGCAACACUGGCAUGGUGGAAAGACUGUGGCAGUCCUUUGGACCUCGGCUCAUCCAGCUUGAUGAUGUUGUCUACUAUGGCUUCCCCAGCCUGCAGGCCUUGGCUGGUGGCUGACUGCGUCUGCCUGAUGGCCCUGGACAAACCCCAGGCUGUGCCCGUGGAGGUCCAUAUGUGGCAGAUCAGAUUGCCCAACAUGACCACAGCUGGCACCCCACCACAUCUCGGGCCAAGGGUCCAAACCCCCAAGCUAACAAGGAACUGGGAAACUUUUUCUGGAGCCUAUGGGGACCUUAUGCUGGCUGGGCCCAAGCAGUGCUGCUCAGUGCCGACUUGCGCCAGCCCACCCACCGUGCCCAAGAGCCACCAGCAAAGCGCCGGAAAGCAUCCAAAGGGCCAGAAGUUUAG